rnacentral:rRNA from 1 species
UAAGACGAACCGUGCGAACGUUAUUCGGAAUCACUGGGCUUAAAGCGCGUGUAGGCGGGUCGGCACGUCGGCCGCUGAAAUCCCCCGGCUCAACCGGGGAAGUGGCGCCGAUACGACCGACCUGGAGGGGGGUAGGGGGAGCCGGAACUUCCGGUGGAGCGGUGAAAUGCGUUGAGAUCGGAAGGAACGCCCGUGGCGAAAGCGGGCUCCUGGACCCCACCUGACGCUGAGACGCGAAAGCCAGGGGAGCGAACGGG